rnacentral:misc_RNA from 1 species
GAUAUAGAUAGUUCAAAAUAUGAGGUAGGAUUAAUGUUACCAUUACGCUCAAUUAACUCAUAAUUAAGCUUUUCUUUUUCAUAUUUUGCAGCAUAACUAAUUAACAAUUACCUCUUUUCAUGUAUAAAAUAAAUAAAUAAAUAAAAUAAACAAGCGCAGCAUUUGGACCUAUACCCACUCCAGGCACAAGUAAAUGGCCCCAUGUAACACAGUGAGAAACUUAAGUGUCCAAGAUUACCCUUGCCAUGUGCUAUUGUAUCAGUGCUUCAUCUUCGUAACCAUUAUUGGUUUCACCUUCAUCGCCUGUCUAUAUCUAUUCUCUAUUCCAUCUUUAAUUCUUUUAUGGAAUGAAUCAUCUAGAUAUUUGCCCUCUCCCACUGAACCCAUUGCAUCACAAACCAGCUUAUACGUAUACUCUCUAGGUAUCGAGCCCCGAUCAACCAACUCAACUAUAAAAUCCCAAGCCUCCUGCGACCUUUCUGCUUGGCACAAGGCAUGUAUAAUUGGUGUAUAAGAACUUGAAGUGGCCAAUCCAUGAUUCAUCUUCUGCAUCGUCCUUAACAUCUCAACAGCCUUAUCAAUCUCAUUCACUGCACUGUAAUAUCUAAUGAAAGAAUUAUAAGUAACCCGGUUUGGAAUACAGCCCCUUCUAUUCAUAUCCUCAAAAAGCUCCAGAGCCCUCUCAAUUCUAUAAGUCUUGCAACACCCAUCAAUCAAACAAUUAUACGUAACAACAUCGGGCACAUAACCUUUAAACAGCAUAAGCCUAAACAAAUGGUUAGCCUCCCAUAGUCUCCUCCUUAUAGCCUUUCUACACCCAGUUUGCAAACUGUACUUGCAAUAAGAACUAAUCAAUAUAGUGUACGUAUACGCGUCCGGUGGGCACAAAAAGCCUGGUAACUCCAUCUGUUCUAACAAGAACCUCGCCUUCUUAAAAUUCCCAACCCGACAGAGAGCGUAAAUAAUUGUAUUAUAAGCAUACACAUCCGGUUUACAAUGAUACUGCUUCAUUCGAUAAAACAAAGCCAAUGCCUCAUUCACCAGCCCUUCUUCUCCUAGGACUUUUAUCAAACAGGUAACGGUAUUAGUAGUCACAAGUUUUAAACCAACGUCAUUCACUCUUCUUGCCAUGUCUUUAAGAAACUGCCACAGCUUCUCCAGUCUAUUUCCUCUAGCCAAAACGCAAGCCAUCUCUCUACACGUCAUUUCAGUAUGUGCAAAGCUAAAAUGAGUUUCUACCCAACCAAAGAAUUCCACUGCUUUGUUUAAGCCAAGAUUGACCCUUUUUGGGUCUCUAUAAGCAGCUGGACCGAGAAUGAGAACAUUGGUGUGGUAUUUGCGGGAUUCUUGCUUGAGGUUGCGCUGUUUUAAAGGAGAACGGUGGCGGGUAGUUUUCUGGCGGCCAAUGGAACGCGUGGAUAGGAAGAAGAAUUUUGGGAUUGAUCGGAGAACAUCAGAGACUAAAUCGACGGUCAAUAAACUAGAGGAAGUAAUAGCAGAUGCGAGUUGGGUAUCAAACGGGCGAUUUUGGAUCAUAAUGGACAGCACUUGGUUCAUUAGAAGAGAAGAGCGGUUGGCGUUCAGAGGCUUUGAGGGGAUCAUUCUUUUUGGGUAACAGAAGCUUUAAUUAAGCUAUUACUUUGGUACCAUGACAUGAAUGGAAUGAUCAAAGAGAAAAUGUUGCUUCCCAUUAAAUUAUAAAGACUAUGAACACAAUGCAGAGUUUCAGUUUAGAUACAUACU